rnacentral:sRNA from 1 species
UACCGAUUUCAUCGAUGUGCGUGAGAAAGAGGCUCACCGUGAAACUCGCGGCGUUCGUAAAAGGACUCGCGAAAUUACCUUGAAGACUUUAAUGCAGGCUGACGAUAUAAAAACAUUUGGGACAUCCGAAUUGGAAACAACAAACGCAACGUUCUUGAUUAACGCAAAGAAUGACACUAUCGAUAAUUCGUCAAAAGAACUCAGAAAAAAGUCGAGUGCUAACAAUAAUUAUUUACGUAAAGACCUUGUGGUAACAGCAACUCCAUUAAAACUUCAAAGAAAGGAGAAUAGUGGACCAGGCUUACCAGAUGAUCUAUUCGAGCUUCAGCAACGUAUUACCAAAGAAAUACUCAAUUCAAAAUUGGAGGGAAGGGAAAUGAUGGUAUUGCAGGAAAAAAUUAAUCGAGAGAUUUUAAACUCGAAAAUUUUUCAAGCAGACGGUAAAAGCAAACGACGGAAACGGAAGCGGAAGAAUCAACGGGCUGUAGUUGAAGACGCGCCUAUUGCUAUCAACAAUGACAGAGUAAAUUAUGUGGAUGGAGUGGAUACUUCAACCACAA